CACGGCGGCCAGUCCAAGUCCAUCUUGAAGGGGGCCCCGCUUAUCCAUAGAGGGUGCCAGGCCCGUGGUGACGGUCGCCGGCCGCGACGGUCUCUCUCCCCAGAGUCGGGUUGCUUGAGAGUGCAGCCCUAAGCGGGUGGUAAACUCCAUCUAAGGCUAAAUACGACCACGAGACCGAUAGCGAACAAGUACCGUGAGGGAAAGUUGAAAAGGACUUUGAAGAGAGAGUUCAAGAGUACGUGAAACCGUUCAGGGGUAAACCUGUGGAACUCUAACGAGCGAACGGGGAGAUCAUUCAUCGCGUCUCCGUCGGGGGCCGCCGGUCGAUCUCCGGCGUUUCGGGCGUCGUUUCCUUCGGGUUGCGGCGUUCGGGCGUCGCGCCGAUCGCGCCGGUAGACAGCCUCUCGGAGCGCGUGCACUUCUCCCUUAGUAUAACACCGCGACCCGUCGUCUCAGAUAAAUGCGGUCGAACGCGUCGUGUCGCAGCCCCGGCGUGCGAGCUCUCGGGCUCGCCGCGUCGGUGCGGCUGGCGUCGCGGCCGCAGGACGACGGUAAAGAACAAGGUUCGCGUCCGCCUACGCGGUGCCGCUUUCGGGCGGACCUUGGCGUCCGGCGGCGCGGCGGCGUGACUCCCCUCGCGGGCCUCGGCGCUUUACGGCGUCGCGGGUUCCGCGUGCGGUCAAGGCGUUUCCCGAAAGGGGGCGUCGGGUCGCGCGUCUGCCGCGCUUCUCGGACGGGACGCGUUCCGGUCGGCGGUGGUUUUGUUUAGGGCACUCACAGGACCCGUCUUGAAACACGGACCAAGGAGUCUAGCAUGUGCGCGAGUCAUUGGGAACUCAUAAACCCAGAGGCGCAAUGAAAGUGAACAGUGCCGUUUUCGGACGGCCGCAGGGAAGAUGGCGAACGGCACGUCCGCUCGUCCGCAUUCCCGAGGCGUUUCGAGAAAUGCCAUCGUUGCGAUUAUCGAGACGCACUGAGAGCGCACACGCUGGGACCCGAAAGAUGGUGAACUAUGCCUGGUCAGGUCGAAGUCAGGGGAAACCCUGAUGGAGGACCGAAGCGAUUCUGACGUGCAAAUCGAUCGUCGGAACUGGGUAUAGGGGCGAAAGACUAAUCGAACUAUCUAAUAGCUGGUUCCAUCCGAAGUUUCCCUCAGGAUAGCUGGCGCUCGAGAAACAUCGAUAUAAUUACUAUCGAUUCAUACAGUCUCAUCCGGUAAAGCGAAUGAUUAGAGGUAUUGGGGCCGAAACGGCCUCAACCUAUUCUCAAACUUUAAAUGGGUGAGAUCUCCGUCUUGCUCGAAUCGUGCGUGCAAACGCACUGAAGUCGGAGUUCGGAUGGGAGUGCCAAGUGGGCCAAUUUUGGUAAGCAGAACUGGCGCUGUGGGAUGAACCAAACGUCGAGUUACGGCGCCAAACGAACGCUCAUCGGAUACCAUAAAAGGUGUUAAUUGCUCAAAACAGCAGGACGGUGGCCAUGGAAGUCGGAAUCCGCUAAGAAGUGUGUAACAACUUACCUGCCGAAGCAACUGGCCCUGAAAAUGGAUGGCGCUGUAGCGUUCUGGCCUAUACUCGACCUUCGAAUGCAAGCGGAACGUGUACUUGUGCACGUUUUUACGCAUCGAAGAGUANGAUGGUCGCGGCGGUGAGCGCGGAAGGGUCUGGGCGUGAGCCCGCCUGGAGCCGCCGUCGGUGCAGAUCUUGGUGGUAGUAGCAAAUACUCAAGCGAGGUCCUUGAGGGCUGAUGUGGAGAAGGUUUCGCGUUAACAGCCGUUGCACGCGAGUUUGUCGAUCCUAARCCCUWRGRRRAAUCGRWKKUKRWGNGKKGUAAAGNUAAAAUUUUUCAUUUCAACUAUWAAACACCACCACUGGGCGAAAGGGAAUCCGGUUGCAGUUCCGGAACCCGGCAGCGGAACCGAAUCAAAAAUCGUUCCCUCUCACGAGUGUGUUCGUCGGGGUGACCCAAAGUGGCCUGAAGACGCCGACGGGAGGUCCGGAGAGAGUUAUCUUUUCUGCCUGAGCGUUCGAGCGCCCUGGAAUCCCAUAGCGGGGAGAUAGGGCUCGGAGCGCGAAGAGCAUCGCCGAUGCGGCGGUGUCCGGAUCGGCCCGGACCUUGAAAAUUCAGGUGAGGGCAACGCGGAGAUGUCGCGCCGGUUCGUACCCAUAUCCGCAGCAGGUCUCCAAGGUGAAGAGCCUCUAGCCGAUAGAAUAAUGUAGGUAAGGGAAGUCGGCAAGUUGGAUCCGUAACUUCGGGAUAAGGAUUGGCUCUGAGGGCCGUGGCGUGUCGGGCCUGGCAGGGAAGGGGGCAUCGGCCGAGGCGCGGUGGACGUCGGCGGGCGCCGUUCGCGCGGUGCCCGUUUGGUGUUCGUGCCUCGCCUUGGCCGUACCCUCGGAUCUGCCAAGCUGUGUGGCGCGUUAUGCGCGCCCUUCGCGGGGACGCUUUCGCUCGCCUUUACGGCCGCCGGACGACGGCCAGCUCAGAACUGGCACGGACAAGGGGAAUCCGACUGUCUAAUUAAAACAAAGCAUUGCGAUGGCCCUCGCGGGUGUUGACGCAAUGUGAUUUCUGCCCAGUGCUCUGAAUGUCAACGUGAAGAAAUUCAAGCAAGCGCGGGUAAACGGCGGGAGUAACUAUGACUCUCUUAAGGUAGCCAAAUGCCUCGUCAUCUAAUUAGUGACGCGCAUGAAUGGAUUAACGAGAUUCCCAUCCUGUCCCUAUCUACUAUCUAGCGAAACCACUGCCAAGGGAACGGGCUUGGGAGAAUCAGCGGGGAAAGAAGACCCUGUUGAGCUUGACUCUAGUCUGGUACUGUAAGGUGACAUGAGGGGUGCAGAAUAAGUGGGAGGGGGAUGCAAAUUCACCGCACGUGAAAUACCACUACUUUCAUCGUUUCGUUACUUACUCAGUUGGGCGGAGAGCGUGCGCCGGCCUUUACGGCCGCUGCGUUACGGUUUUUUCGCGCCAAACGUGCAAGGGGCGGUGAUUAUGUGCGCGCGCGCGUCGCGCGCGUCCCGCUCGCGGUCCGGUCUUCGGAUCGCGGUCGCGGGCGGUCGCGCACCGGCGCCGCGCGCUCGUCGCCGCGUUCCCGCGUGAUCCGUUCUGAGGACACUGCCAGGCGGGGAGUUUGACUGGGGCGGUACAUCUGUCAAAGAAUAACGCAGGUGUCCUAAGACCAGCUCAGCGAGGCCGGWAAUCUCGCGUCGAGCAAAAGGGCAAAAGCUG
rnacentral:rRNA from 1 species